UGACCUCAUCAAGCCAUCCGGCCUUCCUCUUCUUAAACACAGUUGCCAAGGAUUAAGUGAGAUUCGUGUAUACAAAGCCCUCCACAGGAACACGUUCAACAAAUGUUAGAGAACCCAUUGUGUCAUCAAGAUUAUCAACGAUAUUCAGACGUAUUUUUUAUCAUCUCUGCGUCUUGUGUGAAUGGUCCCUCAACGCAACCUGGUGCGUUUGGAAGAUGAUCUCGUCCUUAUCAGUUCCUUUUCUCCUACUAUUCUCAGCUUAUGUCUGUUGAAUUAAACAAGAAGGCCAGCCCAGAAAUAUCAAAUAAAGAUCUGAUGAAGAAUGAAAACACUAAUUUUUAAAGAAUUUAUUUAACCUUGAAAUUGGCUGAGACACGUAGGAUGAUCAAAAAAUAACCCAGACUCAUCUCUUCCUAAACAGCGAGCACCAACUCCCCCAAACUGCUCCUCCGUGAGAAGCAGCACAUAUCAAUUGUUGAUGUUGAUAAAAACAUAGAAACAGAAAUUUAUUAUUUCAGUAAGAAUA